rnacentral:rRNA from 1 species
AUUGAACGCUGGCGGCAUGCCUUACACAUGCAAGUCGAACGGUAACGCGGGGCAACCUGGCGACGAGUGGCGAACGGGUGAGUAAUACAUCGGAACGUGCCCAGUAGUGGGGGAUAGCCCGGCGAAAAGCCGGAUUAAUACCGCAUACGACCUACGGGUGAAAGCAGGGGAUCGCAAGACCUUGCGCUAUUGGAGCGGCCGAUGUCAGAUUAGGUUGUUGGUGGGGUAAAAGCCUACCAAGCCGACGAUCUGUAGCUGGUCUGAGAGGACGACCAGCCACACUGGGACUGAGACACGGCCCAGACUCCUACGGGAGGCAGCAGUGGGGAAUUUUGGACAAUGGGCGCAAGCCUGAUCCAGCCAUGCCGCGUGCGGGAAGAAGGGCC